AAAAAAUGGUUUUCCGGCACUGUUCGUUUUACACAUAUAUGUUUUGUUAAAACAACACAAAUAUAUUUAGUUUUCCGACAAAACACAAUUGUAUUGUGUUUAAUCAACUUAAAAUGUUUAAUUUUAAAUUUUACUUAAUUAUCAAUCGUUAAAGUAACGUAAAGGGUUUAAUUUCGUGAUUCAAAAAAAACCGGAAGUGACGAUUUCCAACGCAUUUGAUGACGGUGUGGAGGGGAGCAAGAGGUAUCAGUCAGGUUUGUGCAGAAUUUGAGACAUCCAGAAUUACCAUAGGCCCAUUAGAAUCAACAAUCUUUGCCAAACUUGAUUCGGACUGCAAAAUUUACGAAGAUGUUUUCAUACUGAAGAAGAGACCUUGGACAAAUACUGAAACCCUCUUGGUGCCCACUACACAGGCAGGGGUGUCCAGACCUGCUCUAGGAAAGCCAGUGUUCUGUGGGGUUCAGCUCUAACACACCUGCCUGGAACUUCAGACUAAUGAAAUUGAAGUAUCCAAAUGAAGACCCUAGCAGUAUGGAGUAUAUGGUGAGUUCAAGGUUAAUAAAUUAUUUGUUAAAGUUAAUACACAAUAAUUUGAGUUCUCCAUGCUUUUAAAUACUUCUAGGAUACAGACGUUGCCAGCAGUCAGGAGGUGAUCCAGAAGACUCCUGGGAAUCUAUUUGAAGCUGCAUCAUUGAAGACAGUCCAGCAGAAGUUGGAGUUUUAAAGGAUACAGUUCUUCAGGACCUAUAGCAGUUUACAGUCUGCAAAACCAUGUUGCUGGGACUGAUUUAUGGACUGAACUUGAGCAACCCUCCUGAAUUCAGGUACACAUUUGGAAUACUGAAGAAGUUAUUUCUGGAGCCAGUUUCUGUUCCUGGAAUAAGGUUUGAUUGGUUACCCAUGAAUGCCAAUUAGAAUUGUAUUUGCUAUUUUGUGUAAUUUUGUAAUGUGGUUUAAACUGUAUUUUACUGUGUGUAAUUAUUUAUUGCUUGUUUAACAAAUACACUUUGAUCAUUUGUGA